GCUUACACAUGCAAGUCGAACGAUGAAGCCUUUCGGGGUGGAUUAGUGGCGAACGGGUGAGUAACACGUGGGCAAUCUGCCCUUCACUCUGGGACAAGCCCUGGAAACGGGGUCUAAUACCGGAUAACACUCUGUCCCGCAUGGGACGGGGUUAAAAGCUCCGGCGGUGAAGGAUGAGCCCGCGGCCUAUCAGCUUGUUGGUGGGGUAAUGGCCUACCAAGGCGACGACGGGUAGCCGGCCUGAGAGGGCGACCGGCCACACUGGGACUGAGACACGGCCCAGACUCCUACGGGAGGCAGCAGUGGGGAAUAUUGCACAAUGGGCGAAAGCCUGAUGCAGCGACGCCGCGUGAGGGAUGACGGCCUUCGGGUUGUAAACCUCUUUCAGCAGGGAAGAAGCGAAAGUGACGGUACCUGCAGAAGAAGCGCCGGCUAACUACGUGCCAGCAGCCGCGGUAAUUCA
rnacentral:rRNA from 1 species